GGCCUUGGAAAAGGCCGGCGGCAAAGAGUUCUUGGAAACAGUAAAGGAGCUUCGUAAAUCCCAAGGCCCUUUGGAAGUUGCUGAAGCCGCUGUCAGCCAAUCCAGCGGACUUGCCGCCAAAUUUGUCAUCCACUGUCACAUCCCUCAGUGGGGCUCCGACAAAUGUGAAGAACAGCUUGAAGAGACCAUCAAAAACUGCCUGUCGGCGGCAGAGGACAAGAAGCUCAAGUCCGUGGCGUUCCCACCGUUCCCCAGCGGCAGAAACUGCUUCCCCAAACAGACGGCCGCCCAGGUGACCCUCAAAGCCAUCUCGGCCCACUUUGACGACUCGAGCGCGUCCUCGCUGAAGAAUGUCUACUUCCUGCUCUUUGACAGUGAGAGCAUUGGCAUCUACGUGCAGGAGAUGGCCAAGCUCGACACCAAGUAGCCGCCCGCCUGGCCGGCCGCGCUGGCCCUCGGAGCAGGAUCCAAGUCACGGGAGUGGGGCUUUCUUUUUUAAAAGGAGAGAGGAAGGGUGACGGCAGGGGAGUGGAGGGCAGUUGGCAGGGCAGCGGGUCACGGGGGCCGCGGGAGCGGGGCCUGCCCACGGAAGGAGCCCUCUGCCUUUUCUAUUCUCAUUUAAAAGAGCCUCCGUCUGUAAUUAACCAGGUCUCCACAAGGGGUUUCUUUCCAUGUGUUUUCUUCCUGUUGUUUUAGAACUUUUUUAAAAGACAGACUUCGUUUUAGAUUUAUAGCAUUGACUUUUACACACACACAAAAAAAAUCCUUUCAAAAUUCUUAAAACCUUGUUUCUCCUUUUUGCAAGGGAAGAGGGCAUAAAAGUGACUUGGGCUUUUGUUGGCUGUGUUCGGUGGCGGCGAGAAGAAAAUGAGAAAGGCGUCUCACUGGUGCUUUCCUUUUCUGUUUUUAGUGCCCCCCCCCCAUGACAUCUGUAUCUACUCCUAAGAAGAUUUUGCUUCAGGCUUUUGUUUUGUUUUGUUUUU